rnacentral:rRNA from 1 species
CCUACGGGUGGCAGCAGUGGGGAAUAUUGCACAAUGGGGGAAACCCUGAUGCAGCGACGCCGCGUGAGCGACGAAGUAUUUCGGUACGUAAAGCUCUAUCAGCAGGGAAGAAAAUGACGGUACCUGACUAAGAAGCUCCGGCUAACUACGUGCCAGAAGCCGCGGUAAUACGUAGGGGGCAAGCGUUAUCUGGAUUUACUGGGUGUAAAGUGAGCGUAGACGGCUUGGCAAGUCAGAAGUGAAAGGCUGGAGCUCAACCCUAGGACUGCUAUUGGAACUGUCAUGCUAGAGUGUCGGAGAGGCAGGCAGAAUUCCUAGUGUAGCGGUGAAAUGCGUAGAUAUUAGGAGGAACACCGGUAGCGAAGGCGGCCAGCUGGCCGAUGACUGACGUUGAGGCGCGAAAGCGUGGGGAGCAAACAGGAUUAGAUACCCGUGUAGUC